CGCCGCCUGCAGUGUUCGACGUGGUCCGGGUUACCUCUCGACCUUAAGUCCAACACCCAGGGGAGCCGGCCAGUCGGCAACAUUGUGCAAGUCCGCCUCGAGCGGGAAGCCUUAAGUGCCGCGGCCUUCCCCGUCUAUUGCUCUUGUCGAGAGCAAUGGCCCACGACGGCACAGGCGGGUGGCGC
rnacentral:sRNA from 1 species